rnacentral:rRNA from 1 species
CCUACGGGAGGCAGCAGUGGGGAAUAUUGCACAAUGGGGGAAACCCUGAUGCAGCAACGCCGCGUGAAGGAAGACGGUUUUCGGAUUGUAAACUUCUGUUCUUCGUGAAGAAAAAUGACGGUAGCUUAGCAGCAAGCCACGGCUAACUACGUGCCAGCAGCCGCGGUAAUACGGAGGUGGCAAGCAUUGUACGGAAUUACGGGGUGUAAAGGGAGCGCAGGAGGGAAGCGAAGUCAGCUGUGAAAACUACGGGCUUAAAUUGUAGACUGCAGUUGAAACUGGGUUUCUUGAGUGAAGUAGAGGUUGGGGGAAUGCCGGGUGUAGCGGUGAAAUGCAUAGAUAUUCGGAGGAACACCGGUGGCGAAGGCGGCCAACUGGGCUUUAACUGACGCUGAGGCUCGAAAGUGUGGGGAGCAAACAGGAUUAGAUACCCUAGUAGUC